CAGCAGCAGCCGCGGGAAUACGAAGGGUGCAAGCGUUAAUCGGAAUUACUGGGCGUAAAGCGUGCGUAGGCGGUUUGUUAAGUCUGCUGUGAAAUCCCCGGGCUCAACCUGGGAAUGGCAGUGGAUACUGGCAAGCUAGAGUGUGUCAGAGGAUGGUGGAAUUCCCGGUGUAGCGGUGAAAUGCGUAGAGAUCGGGAGGAACAUCAGUGGCGAAGGCGGCCAUCUGGGACAACACUGACGCUGAGGCACGAAAGCGUGGGGAGCAAACAGGAUUAGAUACCCCAGUAGUCCCUGUCUCUUAUAC
rnacentral:rRNA from 1 species